rnacentral:rRNA from 1 species
AUUGAACGCUGGCGGCAUGCUUUACACAUGCAAGUCGAACGGUAACAGGCCGCAAGGUGCUGACGAGUGGCGAACGGGUGAGUAAUGCAUCGGAACGUGCCCGGUCGUGGGGGAUAACGCAGCGAAAGCUGCGCUAAUACCGCAUACGAUCUGUGGAUGAAAGCGGGGGACCGUAAGGCCUCGCGCGAUUGGAGCGGCCGAUGUCAGAUUAGGUAGUUGGUGGGGUAAAGGCUCACCAAGCCAACGAUCUGUAGCUGGUCUGAGAGGACGACCAGCCAUACUGGGACUGAGAGACGGCCCAGACUCCUACGGGAGGCAGCAGUGGGGAAUUUUGGACGAUGGGCGCAAGCCUGAUCCAGCAAUGCCGCGUGCAGGAAGAAGGCCUUCGGGUUGUAAACUGCUUUUGUGCGGAACGAAAAGGCUCUGGUUAAUACCUGGGGCUCAUGACGGUACCGUAAGAAUAAGCACCAGCUAACUACGUGCCAGCCGCCGCCGUAAAAC